CAAGAUUCAACAACAACGACAACAACUCACUCAACAACGACGACAACAACUUAAUCAACAGCAACAACAACAAAUCUCUCAAGAACAACGGCAACUACAAUUAUCCAAUAUAUGUAUAUAUUUCAUAAUCAACAAUAUCAUCAAUAAUAGAUAUCUAAUUCAUCAAUUAAAUCUAACACCCUGUCAUAAUAAUAAUUCAUCAAUAUAUA
rnacentral:lncRNA from 1 species